UUAAGCGACUAAGCGUACACGGUGGAUGCCCUGGCAGUCAGAGGCGAUGAAGGACGUGCUAAUCUGCGAUAAGCGUCGGUAAGGUGAUAUGAACCGUUAUAACCGGCGAUUUCCGAAUGGGGAAACCCAGUGUGUUUCGACACACUAUCAUUACGUGAAUACAUAGCGUAAUGAAGCGAACCGGGGAACUGAAACAUCUAAGUACCCCGAGGAAAAGAAAUCAACCGAGAUUCCCCCAGUAGCGGCGAGCGAACGGGGAGCAGCCCAGAGUCUGAAUCAGCUUGUGUGUUAGUGGAACGGUCUGGAAAGUCCGACGGUACAGGGUGAUAGUCCCGUACACCAAAAUGCACAGGUUGUGAACUCGAAGAGUAGGGCGGGACACGUGGUAUCCUGUCUGAAUAUGGGGGGACCAUCCUCCAAGGCUAAAUACUCCUGACUGACCGAUAGUGAACCAGUACCGUGAGGGAAAGGCGAAAAGAACCCCGGCGAGGGGAGUGAAAAAGAACCUGAAACCGUGUACGUACAAGCAGUGGGAGCCUACUUGUUAGGUGACUGCGUACCUUUUGUAUAAUGGGUCAGCGACUUAUAUUCUGUAGCAAGGUUAACCGUAUAGGGGAGCCGAAGGGAAACCGAGUCUUAACUGGGCGUUAAGUUGCAGGGUAUAGACCCGAAACCCGGUGAUCUAGCCAUGGGCAGGUUGAAGGUUGGGUAACACUAACUGGAGGACCGAACCGACUAAUGUUGAAAAAUUAGCGGAUGACUUGUGGCUGGGGGUGAAAGGCCAAUCAAACCGGGAGAUAGCUGGUUCUCCCCGAAAGCUAUUUAGGUAGCGCCUCGUGAAUUCAUCUUCGGGGGUAGAGCACUGUUUCGGCUAGGGGGUCAUCCCGACUUACCAACCCGAUGCAAACUGCGAAUACCGAAGAAUGUUAUCACGGGAGACACACGGCGGUGCUAACGUCCGUCGUGAAGAGGGAAACAACCCAGACCGCCAGCUAAGGUCCCAAAGUCAUGGUUAAGUGGGAAACGAUGUGGGAAGGCACAGACAGCCAGGAUGUUGGCUUAGAAGCAGCCAUCAUUUAAAGAAAGCGUAAUAGCUCACUGGUCGAGUCGGCCUGCGCGGAAGAUGUAACGGGGCUAAACCAUGCACCGAAGCUGCGGCAGCGACACUAAGUGUUGUUGGGUAGGGGAGCGUUCUGUAAGCCGUUGAAGGUGUGCUGUGAGGCAUGCUGGAGGUAUCAGAAGUGCGAAUGCUGACAUAAGUAACGAUAAUGCGGGUGAAAAACCCGCACGCCGGAAGACCAAGGGUUCCUGUCCAACGUUAAUCGGGGCAGGGUGAGUCGACCCCUAAGGCGAGGCCGAAAGGCGUAGUCGAUGGGAAACAGGUUAAUAUUCCUGUACUUGGUGUUACUGCGAAGGGGGGACGGAGAAGGCUAUGUUAGCCGGGCGACGGUUGUCCCGGUUUAAGCAUGUAGGCGGAGGUUCCAGGUAAAUCCGGUACCUUUUUAACGCUGAGGUGUGAUGACGAGGCACUACGGUGCUGAAGUAACAAAUGCCCUGCUUCCAGGAAAAGCCUCUAAGCAUCAGGUAACACGAAAUCGUACCCCAAACCGACACAGGUGGUCAGGUAGAGAAUACCAAGGCGCUUGAGAGAACUCGGGUGAAGGAACUAGGCAAAAUGGUGCCGUAACUUCGGGAGAAGGCACGCUGAUAUGUAGGUGAAGCGGUUUACCCGUGGAGCUGAAAUCAGUCGAAGAUACCAGCUGGCUGCAACUGUUUAUUAAAAACACAGCACUGUGCAAACACGAAAGUGGACGUAUACGGUGUGACGCCUGCCCGGUGCCGGAAGGUUAAUUGAUGGGGUUAUCCGUAAGGAGAAGCUCUUGAUCGAAGCCCCGGUAAACGGCGGCCGUAACUAUAACGGUCCUAAGGUAGCGAAAUUCCUUGUCGGGUAAGUUCCGACCUGCACGAAUGGCGUAAUGAUGGCCAGGCUGUCUCCACCCGAGACUCAGUGAAAUUGAACUCGCUGUGAAGAUGCAGUGUACCCGCGGCAAGACGGAAAGACCCCGUGAACCUUUACUAUAGCUUGACACUGAACACUGGUCCUUGAUGUGUAGGAUAGGUGGGAGGCUUUGAAGUGUGGACGCCAGUCUGCAUGGAGCCAUCCUUGAAAUACCACCCUUUAAUGGCUGGUGUUCUAACGUGGACCCGUUACCCGGGUUGCGGACAGUGUCUGGUGGGUAGUUUGACUGGGGCGGUCUCCUCCUAAAGAGUAACGGAGGAGCACGAAGGUUAGCUAAUCCUGGUCGGACAUCAGGAGGUUAGUGCAAAGGCAUAAGCUAGCUUGACUGCGAGAGUGACGGCUCGAGCAGGUGCGAAAGCAGGUCUUAGUGAUCCGGUGGUUCUGAAUGGAAGGGCCAUCGCUCAACGGAUAAAAGGUACUCCGGGGAUAACAGGCUGAUACCGCCCAAGAGUUCAUAUCGACGGCGGUGUUUGGCACCUCGAUGUCGGCUCAUCACAUCCUGGGGCUGAAGUAGGUCCCAAGGGUAUGGCUGUUCGCCAUUUAAAGUGGUACGCGAGCUGGGUUUAGAACGUCGUGAGACAGUUCGGUCCCUAUCUGCCGUGGGCGCUGGAGAAUUGAGGGGGGCUGCUCCUAGUACGAGAGGACCGGAGUGGACGCAUCACUGGUGUUCGGGUUGUCAUGCCAAUGGCAUUGCCCGGUAGCUAAAUGCGGAAGAGAUAAGUGCUGAAAGCAUCUAAGCACGAAACUUGCCCCGAGAUGAGUUCUCCCUGAGACUAUAAGUCUCCUGAAGGAACGUUGAAGACGACGACGUUGAUAGGUCGGGUGUGUAAGUGUAGCGAUACAUUGAGCUAACCGAUACUAAUGAACCGUGAGGCUUAACCUU
rnacentral:rRNA from 1 species